GCCCUGACAUUUUGAUUAUCGGACGUACGAGCCAUGCCCUGUAACCAACAGGAAGUUGGCCAGUUCUUUUCCAAAGUCUUUCUUUUGUCAUUUUCCACGUUUCAUACUUUAACGAACUCCUCAUACAGAUUUGACAUGAGCAACUUCAAAGGUGGUGUGUGUCAUCUAAAAGUCUAUGGGAUGAAAAGCUGUUAAAACCCUGAGGCCUUUGCCGUGACGACCUGUCGAAGCUCGAUCCUUCGCCCGUCCAAUUGGGUUUAUGGUUGCAGGUGUAAGUGGAAGGCACUUCCACAUUGACUUCACAUUCUGGACCCAUUAACUGUAUCCAUUAUAAUAUGGUUUCACCCAAAACUUGAAUUUCCAUCUACAUCUGAACUAAAUAUCAUGUAUUUAUUGAGUUUUGCCGUCAUCUCGCAAUAUCAAAGAAUCCUUAAAAAAAAUUCCUUGAUCCAGAUCGGGAUCUUGAUUCCCCGCUGCCAUGACCCAGACCUAUCUUUGACAUUUUCAUGCAAAUCCAUCCCUAACUUUUUGAGUAAUCCUGCAAACAAACAGACAAACAGACAGACCAAAACAAUCAGGCAACAAUCAUGGCACCUUAACUUCACACUGAAAUAUACAACAGCACGGGAGGGUGAAGUGAUGAUGCGAAUCAGAAUGUCUCCAUCUAUUCCCAGUCACAUUCUCUCAUUUACAAAAAGAUGAACAACUACUCAUAUGUAUUCAUUUCUAAUAAAUUCAUAGGAGUUGAAACGUCCCGUAUAAGGUUUGCAAGAGCCCCAUCUCCUGUUUUCCCUUUGUACACGCUGAGUAACAUCCUCAGACUUCUAGAAACAACUGUCUCAUUGAGCGACUUUUUCAAAGAACUCAAGUGACGAUGCCUGACCCCUCAACUUCUUGAAGAAAAGCUUGAAAUCUUUUGGACAACGUAUGGUCACAAGUGAUUGGAGUGUGAGACUGAACAAAGUGAACUUGUUGCUUAAAGUUAUGGUCAUGUGGUGAAAGUCACAAGUCCUGAAGAUGUGGACCAAAUCGAUGACCUCAGCUGGUCUCGCUGGUCUCGCUGUGACUCGCUGUAUGACAGGCAUGUCAAAAAACAAACACCUGAGUGGCCCACAUCCCUGAGCAGACCCCAACGGACCAAUCACAGCAGCUCGACCUGGUUCACUGUAAAAUCUCACUGUAUAAUUCAAAUCAUGGCCAGGAACUGAGUUUGGUUUGUAUCAAUAUAGAAAUAUGAUUUUAAUCUGAUCAACAAGAAUGAGUGAUGUGUUUGGUAUUAUAUAACUUCAAACUUCUACUUUUUUUUGCCUCCAAUAUGUGUUUUCUCCUUCAUUUUUUUAUUUUAUUGUAUUCCACUCUUUAUUUUUCUGUGAUGUAUUUUACUGGAACAUUUUAAUCUUUUUUUUCCUACAGAGCUCUCCCUAUGAAUUUUCCCCCGACUUUAUUUAUGACAAGCUCUGUAUAAAAAAGUACAUAUCACUUGCAAGAAACACACAACAAUAUGUUCUCAGUAAAUAAAAUAUUCUAAAUAAAUACA